UGGAGAAGGCAGCGUGAGGGAAUCUGGAUUGCAGUGGAAACUGCUCAGGAAUGUGGCUUCAUGUCUAAGCUGAUUCUUCCUAGACAAUCUCCUUAAUUUGAUUAAGGGCCCGGACGAACUGGAUCUUAGAAGAAUCCAAAGCAGAUGCAGUAACUCCUGAAGGCCUUCUCCAGUGAGGGAACUGGAAGCCAAUGCCCCAGACCGUUCUCUCCUGUGAUUAUCUCCUAGCCCACCCACAAACAUGCCGGCAGGAACCGAGAAUCCCGCUUGGACCAGCGCACAAGCUGCGGCCCCCAAGGCAAAAGGCACCCUCUCCGUGGCUGAGGACGCUGGCCCGUGUUGAAAAGCCUUUCACUGGGUUCUGACUUCUCCAUUCCCCGAGAGCACAGUCGUCAAUCCUUGCAGCAGACAGGCCGGCCACAAGCCCAGUUUCGGAGAGCAGGGCCAGGCUGGCCCGGGCCCAGGGGACCCCGGGGGAUCUGCUGCUGGCCGGCCGCGAGGACACCUGGCCUCAGACCAUCCUGGGCAACGCGUGCUCAUGCAGACCAGCCAGCACGCUGCCCGGCCCAGCAUGUGGAAGCCCUGCAUUCUCAGGGCCUAGAACCUACCCUGCGCUGGAGUCACAGCCCUGGAUUCAAGAUCUUCACCGACUGGGGAACCCCAGGCGAGCCACAGUCCCCUCUGAGUGGGGGCUCCCCACCUGUAAGAGGCUAACACCCCCUUGAAGCCUUGUGACGUCUGCUGAGAUCACCCUUCCAAGCCUGCAGCGUGGGCUCCGUGCAUGUUAAUCCCCUUCCCGCAUUUCUUUUAUGCGUUUUCCUCUCUUUGAUUUUUCUCUUUCCUUAUCUCUUUGACCUUUCUUCACCUCUAAAUCUCUCCUCAGUACUUCUCGCAGUUUGUUAGGCUGCUUGCUUUUCUCCUUUCCGCAAGUCAGCCCACAGAGGCAGGGAGGUUGGAGGGAAAGCUUCACACCUCAGACCUUGGGGACCCUGCUCUCACAGGCCUGGGGGUGCCAGGCUCAGCCGGGCUCGCUGCUCCUGAGCAGAUCCUGGUACGGACCUCAGCUCCUCUUUCUUUUUCCCUCCUGGAGGCUUCUGCCUGGCCGAGAAUGGAAUAGACAGGGGAGCAGGGUGAGACAAGGAGCAGACGUGGUAGCGCCCACUCCCACCCUGUAAACAAGAUCAGCAGAGGCUACAGGAAAUAAACACGACACGACCCCCUGACGUCACAGAGUAACGGGGAGCAAGUCAGUGCAUCUGCUCUCCUCCCUGUCACUCCCUGCCAUGUGCCAGCCCCAGAAGGAAGUCCUUCCUCAUAUCUAACGAAUACCCUUCCUGCUGCAAUUCCUGCCUGCUUCCUUUCAGUCCACAUGGAUGAUGCUGUCCUCAUCAUCCCUCCAACGUGGCACCUCCUCAAUAGGCCUUCUCCUCAAUUCUGCUCAGCGCA